AUUGAACGCUGGCGGCAUGCUUUACACAUGCAAGUCGAACGGCAGCGCGGGCUUCGUCCUGGCGGCGAGUGGCGAACGGGUGAGUAAGUCAUCGGAACGUGCCCAGCCGUUGGGGAUAGCUCGGCGAAAGCCGGAUUAAUACCGCAUACGAUCUGAGGGUUAAACCGGGGGAUCUUCGGACCUCGCGCUAUUUGAGUGGCCGAUGGCAGAUUAGCUAGUUGGUGGGGUAAAGGCCUACCAAGGCGACGAUCUGUAGCUGGUCUGAGAGGCCGACCAGCCACACUGGGACUGAGACACGGCCCAGACUCCUACGGGAGGCAGCAGUGGGGAAUUUUGGACAAUGGGCGAAAGCCUGAUCCAGCAAUGCCGCGUGUGUGAUGAAGGCCUUCGGGUUGUAAAGCACUGUUGGCGGGAAAGAAAAGGAGUGUGAGAAUACCGCGGUUCGAUGACGGUACCCGAAGAAUAAGCACCGGCUAACUACGUG
rnacentral:rRNA from 1 species